rnacentral:ribozyme from 14 species
CAGAAACCUAAAUAACAAAUGAGAAUAGGGAGGAGGAGAUUUUCUUGUGUUUAUGGUUUACUGAGUGGGUUUCUUUUUUUUCUUGUUUGUUG